CUGUUGCGGAACAGGUGCGAAACCGGCUGACGUGUACUGACACGUCAGCUAAUAUUUUAAUAUUAAAAAAAAAAAAAAAACAAAUGACAAAAGCCGAAAAAGUGGAGGAAAAUCAAAUAAGAACUACGUUGCAGAGUGACUCACGCGACCUGAACCCAUUUUUGCCGAGCUCUGAUUCUCUUCCGUCGGUGGUUGCAGCCGUGGGUUGUUGCGGUCGCCGUUAGUCACGCAUUCCGAUCUGCAGAUCUGAGCCGCAGCCACUAUCGUCGACGUGGGUUGGAAGCAGGUUUCCAGAUUUGAUGUAGUUUUGCUUCUCGCAUUGCCACGGUUUGAGUAUUUCUUUUCUUCUCUGCUUACUGUUGCUAAUUUAUCAAAGUCCUCUUAGCAAACACGAUUUGACAAGAAAAGCUUCCAUUAAUUAAUCGAUGGUUUAUACAUAUAUGAGCUACACUUGAACACAGUAGUCUUCUGGUCGACACUUUGUUAUACAUAAUCACUAACAAGUGGAUUAGUCCAAUUCCAUUCAUAACAUUUAGGGGACAGAAGCUGAAAUAUACUAUAUAUAUAUAUACACUAUAUAUAUAUACACACAAUUUCUAACGGCACAAGCUGAAAUUACUUGAGAUUGGCUAAAUGGAACACCCAAAAAGGAAACAGUGAAAAUGUCUAAAAUUGCUUCUAAAGCUUUUGCAGGACAGUAGUGGAAGAACAUAGUAGUCUUCUGGUCGACACUUUGUAUACAUAAUCACUAAGAAGUGGAUUAGUCCAAUUCCAUUCAUAACAUUUAGGGGACAGAAGCUGAAAUAUACUAUAUAUAUAUGCACACAAUUUCUAACGGCACAAGCUGAAAUUACUUGAGAUUGGCUAAAUGGAACACCCAAAAAGGAAACAGUGAAAAUGUCUAAAAUUGCUUCUAAAGCAUUUGCAGGACAGUAGUUGAAGAAAAAAACAUAUAUAUUAUAAAAGAAGAGAAAAGAAUGAUAAAAAGAAGACAAGAUGUUGUGAAUCCUUUUAUUAAAAUAAUCAAAAUGCCAAAGUGAGUGAAAUGAGAGGAAAUGAAAAGGUUCAUUUUGAAUAAGAAGUAAAGAAUUUCAAAAAAUUGAUUUUCGACCCUUAAUCCAAUUUAUUUUGAAAAAAAAAAAAGCAAUUUACUUUGAGUUAUGAUAUAUAUUUAUAUUUAUAUAAGUAUAUAUUUGAGUUAUAUUUAUUUUGAGUUAUGAUUUCCAAGAAGCAUAUCAGAUGCUGACAUUAGUGGAACCCAGCCUUGAGAAACAGUAAUUCAAACUCAAGAAAGUAUGGAUCACAACCGCUGCACGUUGAGUUUGAUGGAUCACAACCACGGUAAUGGUAUGAUUAUCAUGGUUUUUUUUUUAUAAUAUUCUUCUUCUUCUUCUUUUUCUUCUAUAUUGAAAUUGAAGGAUGCCUUCCUUUUAUGUCAAUUACAUUUGUUUGAGAAGCAUUUGAGUAGUUUGAAGAUGAAAUUAAAAAAAAAAAAAAAAAGGACGUACUUGAGGUAUGUGACUAUUACUUGUAAGGAAAAAUAUCUAAAUGUUCAAUCUGGAUCUGAUAGUAUUUUCCAGGUAAUGGUCCUUCCAAGUUCCAUGUAGCUAUAUAUGUAAGCUAUUGAUUGAAGGAGGAUUGAACUUAAAAUAAUUAAAAGUUUUGGAAAUAUUCAAUUUGUCGAAAAUAUUUAUAUCACUUGGAACGACAGUCUAAUUUGGCUUUGGCUUGAUAGGAAUUAUGGAAACUGAUGCUAUCAUUCUGGGUUACAAGCAGUUUUGAGGAAUUUUAUUUCCAAAGUCUCGUACAGCUGGGAGUUACAAGCAGUUUUGAGAAUCAAAAUAUGUAUAAAACAGUCCAAAGAAUUAUGGCUAUGUAUAUGACCUGUAUUCUGGUGUAUGUAGAAUUAUGGCAGUCUUAGAAUUUGACUUUAGGUUCAUAUAGCGUGAAAAAACAUGUCCAGGACACUGUAAAUGAUUACAUGGGAAAAGUGUUUUCGGCUUUGAAGUAUGUGACUCUCUAAAAUGUAAUGGUUAUGUGCAUUUUUCUUUUGGCUGGGAGUUACAAGCAGUUUUGGGGAUCAAAAUAUGUAUAAAAACAGUCCCAAGAAUUAUGGCUAUGUAUAUGACCUGUAUUAUGAUGUAUGUUGAAUUAUGGCAGUCUUAGAAUUUGACUUUAGGUUCAUAUAGCGUGAAGAAACAUGUCUAGGACACUGUAAAUGAUUACAUGGGGAAAGUGUUUUUGGCUUUGAA